UGGGUAACCUGCCCUUAACUCUGGGAUUAGCCUGGGAAACUGGGUCUAAUACCGGAUAUGACUCCUCAUCGCAUGGUGGGGGGUGGAAAGCUUUAUUGUGGUUUUGGAUGGGCUCGCGGCCUAUCAGCUUGUUGGUGAGGUAAUGGCUCACCAAGGCGACGACGGGUAGCCGGCCUGAGAGGGUGACCGGCCACACUGGGACUGAGACACGGCCCAGACUCCUACGGGAGGCAG
rnacentral:rRNA from 1 species